rnacentral:rRNA from 1 species
GAUGAACGCUGGCGGCGUGCCUAAUACAUGCAAGUCGAGCGAACAGACGAGGAGCUUGCUCCUCUGACGUUAGCGGCGGACGGGUGAGUAACACGUGGAUAACCUACCUAUAAGACUGGGAUAACUUCGGGAAACCGGAGCUAAUACCGGAUAAUAUAUUGAACCGCAUGGUUCAAUAGUGAAAGACGGUUUUGCUGUCACUUAUAGAUGGAUCCGCGCCGCAUUAGCUAGUUGGUAAGGUAACGGCUUACCAAGGCAACGAUGCGUAGCCGACCUGAGAGGGUGAUCGGCCCCACUGGAACUGAGACACGGUCCAGACUCCUACGGGAGGCAGCAGUAGGGACUCUUCCGCAAUGGGCGAAAGCCUGACGGAGCAACGCCGCGUGAGUGAUGAAGGUCUUCGGAUCGUAAAACUCUGUUAUUAGGGAAGAACAAAUGUGUAAGUAACUAUGCACGUCUUGACGGUACCUAAUCAGAAAGCCACGGCUAACUACGUG